rnacentral:rRNA from 1 species
GACGAACGCUGGCGGCGUGCUUAACACAUGCAAGUCGAACGGAAAGGCCAUGCUUUUGUGGGGUGCUCGAGUGGCGAACGGGUGAGUAACACGUGAGUAACCUGCCCUUGACUUUGGGAUAACUUCAGGAAACUGGGGCUAAUACCGGAUAGGAGCUCCUGCUGCAUGGUGGGGGUUGGAAAGUUUCGGCGGUUGGGGAUGGACUCGCGGCUUAUCAGCUUGUUGGUGGGGUAGUGGCUUACCAAGGCUUUGACGGGUAGCCGGCCUGAGAGGGUGACCGGCCACAUUGGGACUGAGGUACGGCCCAGACUGCUACGGGAGGCAGCAGUGGGGAAUAUUGCACAAUGGGCGGAAGCCUGAUGCAGCAACGCCGCGUGCGGGAUGACGGCCUUCGGGUUGUAAACCGCUUUCGCCUGUGACGAAGCGUGAGUGACGGUAAUGGGUAAAGAAGCACCGGCUAACUACGUG